UACGUAGGGUGCAAGCGUUGUCCGGAUUUAUUGGGCGUAAAGAGCUCGUAGGCGGUUUGUCGCGUCGGAUGUGAAAACCCAGGGCUCAACCCUGGGCCUGCAUUCGAUACGGGCAGACUAGAGUAUGGCAGGGGAGACUGGAAUUCCUGGUGUAGCGGUGAAAUGCGCAGAUAUCAGGAGGAACACCGAUGGCGAAGGCAGGUCUCUGGGCAUUAACUGACGCUGAGGAGCGAAAGCAUGGGGAGCGAACAGG
rnacentral:rRNA from 1 species